rnacentral:rRNA from 1 species
AUUGAACGCUGGCGGCAGGCCUAACACAUGCAAGUCGAACGAGUGGCGGACGGGUGAGUAAUGUCUGGGAACCUGCCUGAUGGAGGGGGAUAACUACUGGAAACGGUAGCUAAUACCGCAUACCAUCAGAUGUGCCCAGAUGGGAUUAGCUAGUUGGUGGGGUAACGGCUCACCAAGGCGACGAUCCCGAGCUGGUCUGAGAGGAUGACCAGCCAAACGGGAACUGAGACACGUGCCAGACUCCUACGUGAGGCAGCAGUGGUGAAUAUUGCACAAUGGGCUAAAGCCUGAUGCAGCCAUGCCGCGUGUAUGAAGAAGGCCUGCGGGUUGUAAAGUACUUUCAGCGGGGAGGCGUUACCCGCAGAAGAAGCACCGGCUAACUCCGUGCCAGCAGCCGCGGUAAUUC